UGAACCUGCGGAGGGAUCAUUACCGAGUUUACAACUCCCAAACCCAAUGUGAACGUUACCAAACUGUUGCCUCGGCGGGAUCUCUGCCCCGGGUGCGUCGCAGCCCCGGACCAAGGCGCCCGCCGGAGGACCAACCAAAACUCUUAUUGUAUACCCCCUCGCGGGUUUUUUACUAUCUGAGCCAUCUCGGCGCCCCUCGUGGGCGUUUCGAAAAUGAAUCAAAACUUUCAACAACGGAUCUCUUGGUUCUGGCAUCGAUGAAGAACGCAGCGAAAUGCGAUAAGUAAUGUGAAUUGCAGAAUUCAGUGAAUCAUCGAAUCUUUGAACGCACAUUGCGCCCGCCAGUAUUCUGGCGGGCAUGCCUGUCCGAGCGUCAUUUCAACCCUCGAACCCCUCCGGGGGGUCGGCGUUGGGGAUCGGCCCUUUACGGGGCCGGCCCCGAAAUACAGUGGCGGUCUCGCCGCAGCCUCUCCUGCGCAGUAGUUUGCACACUCGCAUCGGGAGCGCGGCGCGUCCACAGCCGUUAAACACCCCAAACUUCUGAAAUGUUGACCUCGGAUCAGGUAGGAAUACCCGCUGAACUUAAGCAUAUCAAUAAGGCGGAGGA
rnacentral:rRNA from 1 species